rnacentral:rRNA from 1 species
AACGAACGCUGGUGGCGCGCCUAAUACAUGCAAGUCGAGCGAGAAGGUGUAGCAAUACACUUGUAAAGCGGCGAACGGGUGAGGAAUGCAUGGGUAACCUACCCUCGAGUGGGGAAUAACUAGCCGAAAGGUUAGCUAAUACCGCAUACGUUUCCGGAACUUCGGUUUCGGAAAGAAAGCAAUACCGUGGGUAUUGCGCUCCUGGAUGGGCUCAUGUCCUAUCAGCUUGUUGGUGAGGUAACGGCUCACCAAGGCUUCGACGGUAGCUGGUCUGAGAGGACGAUCAGCCACACUGGCACUGCGACACGGGCCAGACUCCUACGGAGGCAGCAGUAAGGAAUAUUGCGCAAUGGACGAAAGUCUGACGCAGCGACGCCGCGUGGGGGAUGAAGGUCUUCGGAUUGUAAACCCUUUCGGAGG